GUUGUAUAUUACCCAGGCUAUGUCUAGAUGUUGUAUGUUACCCAAGCUAUGUCUAGAUGUUGUAUGUUACCCAGGCUGUGUCUAGAUGUUGUAUAUUACCCAGGCUAUGUCUAGAUGUUGUAUGUUACCCAAGCUAUGUCUAGAUGUUGUAUGUUACCCAGGCUAUGUCUAGAUAAUGUAUGCUACGUUUAUCUACUAUCCUGGCUGUCCAUCACAGAGUUCUGUGUAUGUCUGUGUAUUGCCCUAGGUCAUAUCUGUUGCUGGUAGAGCCCAGCGCUGAUCACUCUGCUUUUAAUUAACCAUAUUAACAUGAACACAUUAUCUUUCUCUCUGCUUUUAAUUAACCAUAUUAACAUAAACACUUUAUCUUCCUCUCUCUCUCUCACUCCGUUGCCCUCUCUAUACUCUCUCUCACCCCUCCCUUUUUGUAUUUACCCCUGCAUCCCUCUCCCUGUCUUCCUACAAUAGUGCUGUUAGAUGGCCUCAGGCUAUCCCGACCAGCUGCAUUAAACCUGGACUAAUCAAC
ensembl:lncRNA